rnacentral:misc_RNA from 1 species
AAGUCGUAACAAGGUUUCCGUAGGUGAACCUGCGGAAGGAUCAUUAACACGUAUCCAACGUUAAACAACCCUGUGAACUUUCAGCGCUCUUGUAACCAGGCGGAACAGCAAUCCCGGUAAAUCAAUUGGCGGAAAAAGUUUUGAUUCGGGACCUCUGUCCAAAAGGUUACAAUCGAGUUGAGCAGUGGCAUGGUACUGAGUAAGGAUAACGCAUCAACGGUUGCUAGAGGUCGAUCACCGGCCGGCAGACAUGUCACAGGGCUAUACGCCCCUUCAUUCACCCCUUGCCCUCUCCUGCCCGCCGGAAACGUCGGGCACAAAAACUGAACAACUGUUAACAAUGGAUAUCUUGGUUCUCA